UACAGAGGGUGCAAGCGUUGUUCGGAAUUAUUGGGCGUAAAGGGCGCGUAGGCGGUUCGGCAAGUCUCUAGUGAAAUCUCAGGGCUCAACUCUGAGUCUGCUGGGGAAACUGCCGGGCUUGAGUGUGGGAGAGGAGAGUGGAAUUCCCGGUGUAGCGGUGAAAUGCGCAGAUAUCAGGAGGAACACCGAUAGCGAAGGCAGCUCGCUGGGACGGUACUGACGCUGAGGCGCGAAAGCGUGGGGAGCGAACAGG
rnacentral:rRNA from 1 species